GAUGAAGAACGCAGCGAAAUGCGAUACGUAAUGUGAAUUGCAGAAUUCAGUGAAUCAUCGAGUCUUUGAACGCACAUUGCGCCCCCUGGUAUUCCGGGGGGCAUGCCUGUCCGAGCGUCAUUGCUGCCCUCAAGCACGGCUUGUGUGUUGGGCCUCCGUCCUCCUCCCGGGGGACGGGCCCGAAAGGCAGCGGCGGCACCGCGUCCGGUCCUCGAGCGUAGGGGGCUUCGUCACCCGCUCUUGUAGGCCCGGCCGGCGCUUGCCGACACAUCAAUCUUUUUUCCAGGUUGACCUCGGAUCAGGUAGGGAUACCCGCUGAACUUAAGCAUAUCAAUAAGCGGAGGA
rnacentral:misc_RNA from 1 species